CGCCCUCUGGUGGCGGGUCGCCAUCGGCGUUCGGGUCGCCGUCGGGUGGCGGGUCGCCAUCGGCGUUCGGGUCGCCGUCGGGUGGC
rnacentral:tRNA from 1 species